UACGUAGGGGGCGAGCGUUGUCCGGAAUCAUUGGGCGUAAAGAGCGUGUAGGCGGCUUGGCAAGUCUUGCGUGAAAUCCUGCGGCUCAACCGCAGGCGGUCGCAGGAAACUGCCUCGCUAGAGUCCGGAAGAGGAGAGCGGAAUUCCUGGUGUAGCGGUGGAAUGCGCAGAUAUCAGGAAGAACACCCGUGGCGAAGGCGGCUCUCUGGGACGGUACUGACGCUGAGACGCGAAAGCGUGGGUAGCAAACAGG
rnacentral:rRNA from 1 species